CUAUAUGGGGGGGGGGCGGGACUAGACCCUUGGGCACUGGGGCUCUUCUCCGCUGCCCCUCCCGGGGCCCUCUCACCUUCCCUCGCAGGACCUUUUUGUCAGUUGCUGCUGCUGCUGCACCCUCCAGUGACAGCACUGAGAAGCAGUGCAGUCUACUUGCCUUUCUCUUCGCGCAGCCCCCACUGCACCUCCUUUGGGUGGGGGGAGAGGAACGUGCACCAACAGCGAGCCCGUCCAACCGUCCCCUCUCCUCUUUUCUACCCAUCCCCGUCGCCCUCCGUUUCUUUAUGUGGCCCAGUCAUAUGCCAGACACCUCCUGUACCCCCAACAGCUGCCAAUCUAACUUCAGAUGUUAGCCCAACAAAGGGGACAAUAAAACAAUUAGAAAUAGGAAGGACAGUUGCAUCUUCUAACAACUUUACACCAUCUGCAUGUUGUGGCUGUUGCUUUUACAAAAAACCAUAAACAUGUUCUUACUGACAGAGCCGUGAUUACAAGAGAACAAGAAGACUGAUUGUAUUUUUUUGAAAGAUCAGAAUACAGCACUGACUAUGCGCAGACAAUCUAGACAAAUUGUAAACACUGUUGCUGACAUCAAAGAAAAUAUGAAUGGAAUUAUUGAAGAAGAUAGAGAUAUUUCUUCUAUGCCUGUUUCAAAAGACAAAAUUGUCAGAGUGGAUGAAUCAAAAAGCACAAAGGUUUCAGAAAUGGAAAAUUUAAAUGGCAGGAGCCCCACAAAUGUGCAGAAACCCAGAAUGAAAUGCAACAAAUAUGUGAGGAGAAAAUCAUAUCAGAAUAGUAAGGAUGAUAGUAAUCUAACAGUUAAUGAAAGCCUUUCUGUUAAACAAAAAGGAAACUUACUUGAACCUCCUUUGUCCUUUUUGACAUUAGACAAACUGCAAAGUCCUUUUUCAGAAGGCAGACCUACAUUUUUGGAUGCUGCACACUAUCUGACGCCAAACAAAGGUGAAGCAGAUGUAAAACCUGAUUGUGGAACCUUGGAGAAACUAAUGAAGAAACCUAUUGAUUUUGCUAGUGUAACUAUAGCUGAAUUUGGGAUUACUCCAGAGUCUUUUACUGCUAAGCCAUCUGUAGGGAAAUCCAUGGCUUUAAAACUUAGGCGCAGAUCUACAAUUGGAGUACGGGGUUCCCCUGAAAAUAAUAGCCUUAUUCGAUACCUUGCCCAACAAAGGAGGAACAGAACCGAAGACCCUUUCACAAAGCAGGCCAGCCCUUUUAAACAUCAAAAUGUUGGCUCGCUAAAGGAUAAAAUAUCUGCCUUCCAAUCAUCUUUUCAAUCAGCGCAAGAGGACGAAGAGAGGGCUUGCUUUCCUGGGCUCUCGCAGGAGGAGAGUGUGUCCCAGGGAGCAGGCUAUUCUCAGAACAAACCACCUUUUACAAAACAGCAUGAACAGUCUCAGUUGAGCGAAAAGUUCGCAUCUGAACGCAAGAGUGUUGCUUACAGGGAAAAUUUGCAAGAAAAAUUAACUAAUGGUGAUAAAACUGCAGCCAGUAUCCAGGUAUGCAAGAUUCUCUCUCCACCAGAGGAGGUGGCCAUCAUUGAAACUACUACUGCUACAAUUUCAAAGGAAAUUCCCUGUACACCACCAGUUACUGAAUCUGGAAGCUUAUCUUUAGAGAUUAUUCAACUAACGGGCAUCCCAAAGACACCAAGCAACAUUACUUCUGAGUGUAUCAGUGAGGAAGUUGGAGGUAAUACUGGAUCACAGCUAAGCAGAAAGAAAGUUACCUUUGCAGAAGAACUGAGCUUGGAGAUAUUUGAUGAAACCAUGCCACUUGUUACGCCACCACAAAAGGGAAACCUUCCAUCCAGUGAACAAUCACUUAACGGCUCCUCUUGCCUUCGAUCUGUUCUGAAGAAAACACCAGUAAAACUACUGAUGGAAAAUGUGAAGGAACUCGUAAGCAAUACUAUUGGCAUGGAAGGAAAUGAACCUCUUUUAUUCUCUGAUCUCUCAAGAAGUUGUGAAGAACUGCAAACAGAUAGAAGCAAUACUAAAACAAUAGACAGAACUGAUGUGUACAGCUCUGAAAAGCCAAUGAAGAGAAAGAAGGUUACUUUUGGAGAGGAUCUAAGCCCAGAAGUAUUUGAUAAAACCUUGCCUGCAAAUACACCAUUGCGUAAAGGAGCGUCCCCAAUCAGUAACCCAGGAUCACAAAGCGAUAGCCCUUCCACAGUAAUAAGUCCUAUGAGAGAACCUUUAUCUCAGCCAAAUUUUGAUGACUGUGAUGGUGAUGAUGAAUAUGUUAAGCCUCUUCAAGAGUCUGUAGCAGUCCCUGAGAAUAUGAAAGAAAUUAAUUCCUCUGAUAACAAAAACUCUUGUACCAGAAUAACCCGGUCCUCUACUAAAAGAAAGUAUAGCAACAUUUCAGAAGAGACUGGUGUUACCAUCUCGACAGAUAUAACAGUGAAAAAUGCUCAAGAUCUUAAAAAUCUAAGAAAGGGCAAGGUUCAAAGAGGAAAGGAAAACAAAUCUGCCCCCAGAAGGAUACCAAAGGUAAAACAUAAAGGUUAUGGAGGAAAAAGAGGAAAGAAAAAGGUAGAAAAAUCCUUGUAUGGUCAGAGAGAAGUAGCUUCCAAGAAACCUCUUUUGAGCCCAAUUCCUGAGAUCCCAGAGGUCUUGUCUUCUGCACCAUCUUCUCCAAACUCACCUAAGACACACUUUCUGCUCUUCUCAGAUUAUUCCAAAUCCAGCAAUGCACACAUAGGAUCUAUGAAUGAAGUUGUUGAACAGAAAAAAGUGGUUGGAAGAAUCAGAAGGAAAGUGCCUAUAACAAACAAACGUCCAAACACUAAAGAACUUGACAUUGUAGAAGCCAGCAGCACCAGUGGCAUUGAGUGUCAGUCAUCAGACAGUGGCCCUGAUCCUACUUCAACCAUUAAUAUUGAGGUGCUUAAUAUACAGGAAAACAUUCAAACAGAAAAUGAGCGGGGAUCACCCUUAAUGUCACUAGAACAGAAAGAGAGUGAUGUUUGUGUGAAUAAUCAGACCAGUGAAGAAGACAGCAAUGCUAAGACCAGCUGUCAGCAGUCUGAGCCCAGUUCACCUAUCAUUGUAAAAUCAAAUUCUCUUUUGCCACUACUAAACACUAUUACGCAAGAAAUUAAGAGUACUUCCCCACUUGAUACAUCUGGCGACAAAGAACAUGAAAAAGCGAGAGAUGUCUUAAUAGAAAAUGGAUGUGUACUGGAAAGUGAUCAUCCUUCAAAUAACUCAGAGAUGCUAAAGGAGCUAGAGUUCUUAAACCUGCAGGACAUCAGUGUAAGUGAAAAUACUCAAACUGGAUGUUCUAUUACAGACUUUGCAAGAAAACGAACAGCUGACAGUGAUGCCAGUCUUAAAAGGUUCAAAAGGUCUUCAAUAAAAGGCAGGAGAAGCACGAUGUACCUUUCUGAACUUGAGAAUCUCCAUUUUGAAGCAUCUGGAAACAAUCUCUCUAAUUCCUAUUCUAAUGAGCAAGAACCCCGAAUAGAAAAUGACUCGGAAAUGUUUUAUGAUCUACAUUACUCUAUAGAACAGUCCUUCUUGAAGGUGAGUGAAGAUCGUGAAAAAAAGGUAAGACGCAGUAUGAGGCUGCAGAAAAAUGCAGAAAAUGAGGGACUUGUGUGGAUUAAAAUACCUAUUGAGAUUCACAAGAACUCUUUGUCAGAUUCUGCUUACAAAUCAAGGAGGACGAUGGAUGCAUCCAUCUUUAAAGAAUCUGAGAACAUUCAUCAAAGACAAGAAAAUUGGAUCCAAUUUUCAGCUUUGGGGAAAGAGAACAAUGAGUGUGUUCCUGUUGCAGGGGGUUCUUGCAAAACACACAGGAGGCGCAUGUGUACAUCCACUUCCCAGGAAACCAAAAAUAUAACUCAAACACGGAAAAAGAGAAGGGCAAGCCUUGUGUACAAUGAUAAACAUUAUCAAAAGGAGUCUGAAGUGGAAGCAUCCUUUGAGAACCAUCCUAAUGCCUAGGCAAAUUGGACCAUCCAAUUUUUUUUUUUUUUUUAAAAGAUUUCAAAAACAAGCUAACAAAUAGAGAACCUCUACAACUAACAUAACAGUGAAGAAAGCUCCUGCUGGGGUGCAGACUUUUCCCAUGUUCUGCAGAGACUUUGCUUUACCAUCUUGGCACCAGCAGAGACCAACUGCCAGUCUUUCAGAAACCAGAACUACUCAGGCAACUUUGCAAGAAACUUCAUCAAAAGAUAUCUUUUGUGUUGUACUGUUGAUGAUGAACUGUCACUGAAAUCAGGACCCAUCCACUUUCUUUUACUGUUUCAUCAACCCUUUUUUUUCAAGUCUUCAUUAACUAAAUGUUUGCAUGUUUAUCUGCUCUUCCUGUUCUCCACAUUUUUGGAACUUGAACUCAUUUCUGGAAGAGAGUAGAAUAUGUUCUCUCAAAUGUUAGCAAAAUUAAAUCUACCACAGUGAAAAUUUUAGACUUUGGUUUAGAAGAUAGGAGCAUAUUCAGUUAAAUUUUAUUGGAAUAGCAAUAUCUUUGUUUUACCAGCAGAGGGCAGUGUGGCAUGAAUUUUGCACUGGGGUAGACCUAGACAAACCAAACUUCUUUGUGAAAACUGUCAUAGAUUUAAAAAAAAAAAAUCUUUAAACAGUUCCCAGACCAGAAUACUGAAAUGUCAUAAUCACUUGUUGGUUCAAAACAAACUGUUAAUAGCAGCUAACUCUGGUACUCAUAUUUUAUACUUAAUUAAUUUUCUUGCCUAUUUCAUAGCUUGUGGGGUGGGGUUGGAAGAAAUGAUUUAAAGGUUACAAUAAAACUAAAUUCAUUUUAUGAUUAAUAACAUAUACUGUAAUCAAUAUGAGAUAGUAAGCUCUGUGAAGAGCCCACACUUCACCUUGUCUUGCAAGACUGGGUGUUUCUAUUGGUCUUGACUAAAAUUGUACUUUUUCCUGGAAUAUAUUUUUCACCAGGUACUUAAGACAGUUUGUUUUACAUGGUAUAUAAGUUGCACUGCAGAUAUCUUACAGGACUAGGGUGAACCUCUUUAGUCCAGUAUUAAAGGGUUUGUUCAGGUGCUGGGAACAUUCUAAUGUCUGUAAGGCUGGAGAAAACUCUUCUUGUGUGAAAGAUGUAUAUCCCUUUUUCUUAAAAAUAGGAUAUCUAAGUAUAAAUAGAUUUUCUUUCCAGAAUAAUUACCCCAGUGAUUUGGUGGGGAGAGAGAGAGAGACCUGGUUAAAACAAAUGUGUAAACAGGGCCACAGUAUGUUUUAUGCAUAUCCUUGAAUCCUGUGUAAGAUCUAAAAUCACUUCUGCUAUUGGACACAGCUCUGUUGCCCACUGUGUGCAAAUCUUUUUUAACAAAGAUGAUAUGCAGUAUCAUUUGCGUGUCCAUUGCUGAGUACCAUUUACUUUGAUUCAUCUACCCAGCUGCUUUAGCAUUUAAACUUUCUUAAAGAUCACUUGUCCUCCAUAUAUGCAGCAUUAACUAAAAUUUUAAACCGCCUAUUCAAAAAUUGUUGUAACAAAAAAUAAUGAACCAGAAGAUGAUUGAGGAAGACUGAGAUUGUAAAUGGGAUUUGCACUGGUUAUCUGAGGCUAGAGGUUGGAACCUGAAAAGAGGUGGAAGAAAUUGUUGAGGUGCAAGAAAGUGUAGUAAGAGUCACUAGGGGUAAGAUAGGCCACAUCCUGGGAAUAAGGAUAAUGAGACAGUUCUGGUGUUAGAGAGUCAUUGGACUUUGGAGGAAAGCAGAUAUUCUGGGAUAGGAGGCUUUUCACCUGUGGCGGUGUGUGUGUAUGUGUGAGAGAGAGAGAGAAGCAUAAUAAAAAAAGGACUUGAAAAUCUCUCAGAAAUGCAUGCAAAUAAAACACUGCUCCUUUCACAAGGGAAAGUGUGUACCUAGACUCCUGGAGCCAUGUGAGAGCCACAGGGUGGUUACCAGGCUGCUGUGUAGGUACUGGAGCCAGGAAUCCAUCAAACUACCUGCAUUUUUCACAA